UUUCUAAUUUCGAUUAGAACUCUUUUAACGUGGGAAAAAGAAAAAGGAAGCAUUCAGCAAUAACAGGUCUGUGAUGCCCUUAGACAUCUUGGGCCGCACGCGCGCUACAAUGGAGUUACUAGAGAGCAUUUUAUCAUUUACACCUUAUUUAUUAGGCUAUGUCUAAUAGGUAGGGAAA
rnacentral:rRNA from 1 species